rnacentral:rRNA from 1 species
GUCCACGCCGUAAACGAUGGAUACUUGGUGUUGGAGGUAUUGACCCCUUCAGUGCCGAAGCUAACGCGUUAAGUAUCCCGCCUGGGGAGUACGGUCGCAAGAUUAAAACUCAAAGAAAUUGACGGGGUCCGCACAAGCGGUGGAGCAUGUGGUUCAAUUCGAUGCAACGCGAAGAACCUUACCUGGGCUCGAAAUGCAGUGGAAGACAGCAGAGAUGUUGUCGCCUUCGGGCCGCUGCAUAGGUGCUGCAUGGCUGUCGU